rnacentral:rRNA from 1 species
UACGUAGGUGACAAGCGUUGUCCGGAUUUACUGGGCGUAAAGAGCGCGCAGGCGGUCGAUCAAGUCGAGUGUGAAAGCCCCCGGCUCAACUGGGGAGGGUCAUUCGAAACUGGUCGACUCGAAGGCAGGAGAGGGUAGUGGAAUUCCCGGUGUAGUGGUCAAAUGCGUAGAUAUCGGGAGGAACACCAGUGGCGAAGGCGACUACCCGGCCUGUUCUUGACGCUGAGGCGCGAAAGCUAGGGGAGCAAACGGG